GACGAACGCUGGCGGCGUGCCUAAUACAUGCAAGUUGAGCGCUGAAGGUUGGUACUUGUACCAACUGGAUGAGCAGCGCACGGGUGAGUAACGCGUGGGGAAUCUGCCUUUGAGCGGGGGACAACAUUUGGAAACGAAUGCUAAUACCGCAUAAAAACUUUAAACACAAGUUUUAAGUUUGAAAGAUGCAAUUGCAUCACUCAAAGAUGAUCCCGCGUUGUAUUAGCUAGUUGGUGAGGUAAAGGCUCACCAAGGCGAUGAUACAUAGCCGACCUGAGAGGGUGAUCGGCCACAUUGGGACUGAGACACGGCCCAAACUCCUACGGGAGGCAGCAGUAGGGAAUCUUCGGCAAUGGACGAAAGUCUGACCGAGCAACGCCGCGUGAGUGAAGAAGGUUUUCGGAUCGUAAAACUCUGUUGGUAGAGAAGAACGUUGGUGAGAGUGGAAAGCUCAUUAAGUGACGGUAACUACCCAGAAAGGGACGGCUAACUACGUG
rnacentral:rRNA from 1 species